rnacentral:rRNA from 1 species
GAUGAACGCUGGCGGCGUGCCUAAUACAUGCAAGUCGAGCGAACAGACGAGGAGCUUGCUCCUCUGACGUUAGCGGCGGACGGGUGAGUAACACGUGGAUAACCUACCUAUAAGACUGGGAUAACUUCGGGAAACCGGAGCUAAUACCGGAUAAUAUAUUGAACCGCAUGGUUCAAUAGUGAAAGACGGUUUUGCUGUCACUUAUAGAUGGAUCCGCGCCGCAUUAGCUAGUUGGUAAGGUAACGGCUUACCAAGGCAACGAUGCGUAGCCGACCUGAGAGGGCGAUGGGCCACACUGAAACUGAGCCCGGCUCCAGCCUCCGAGGGGAGGAAGAGGGAGGGAUUCUUCAGAAAGGGGCAAAGGCCGGAGGGAGAAACGCGGCGUGAGUAAUAAAGGUCUUGGGAUCAAAAAACUUUUUUAUAGGGAAAAAAAAAAUGUGUAAGAAACUAUGCGCGUCUGGAGGCAACCUAACAAAAAAGCCAGGGCAAACUCCGUC